rnacentral:rRNA from 1 species
CCUACGGGAGGCAGCAGUCGAGAAUCAUUCACAAUGGGGGAAACCCGAUUGUUCGACGCCCCCUGGGGGAAUGAAGGUUCUCGGAUUGUAAACCCCUGUCCUGUGGGAGCAAAUUAAAAAGAUAGUACCACAAGAGGAAGAGACGGCCAACCCUGUGCCAGCAGCCGCGGUAAUACAGAGGUCUCAAGAGUUGUUCGGAAUCACGGGGCGUAAAGCGUGCGUAGGCCGUUUCGUAAGUCGUGUGUGAAAGGCGCGGGCUCAACCCGCGGACGGCACAUGAUACUGCGAGACUAGAGUAAUGGAGGGGGAACCGGAAUUCUCGGUGUAGCAGUGAAAUGCGUAGAUAUCGAGAGGAACACUCGUGGCGAAGGCGGGUUCCUGGACAUUAACUGACGCUGAGGCACGAAGGCCAGGGGAGCGAAAGGGAUUAGAUACCCUGGUAGUC